rnacentral:rRNA from 1 species
UGGGGAAUUUUGGACAAUGGGCGCAAGCCUGAUCCAGCAAUGCCGCGUGCAGGAAGAAGGCCUUCGGUUGUAAACUGCUUUUGUACGGAACGAAAAGGCUCUGGUUAAUACCUGGGGCUCAUGACGGUACCGUAAGAAUAAGCACCGGCUAACUACGUGCC